AUUGAACGCUGGCGGCAGGCCUAACACAUGCAAGUCGAGCGGAUGAAGGGAGCUUGCUCCUGGAUUCAGCGGCGGACGGGUGAGUAAUGCCUAGGAAUCUGCCUGGUAGUGGGGGAUAACGUCCGGAAACGGGCGCUAAUACCGCAUACGUCCUGAGGGAGAAAGUGGGGGAUCCUCGGACCUCACGCUAUCAGAUGAGCCUAGGUCGGAUUAGCUAGUUGGUGGGGUAAAGGCCUACCAAGGCGACGAUCCGUAACUGGUCUGAGAGGAUGAUCAGUCACACUGGAACUGAGACACGGUCCAGACUCCUACGGGAGGCAGCAGUGGGGAAUAUUGGACAAUGGGCGAAAGCCUGAUCCAGCCAUGUCGCGUGUGUGAAGAAGGUCUUCGGAUUGUAAAGCACUUUAAGUUGGGAGGAAGGGCAGUAAGUUAAUACCUUGCUGUUUUGACGUUACCAACAGAAUAAGCACCGGCUAACUUCGUG
rnacentral:rRNA from 1 species